rnacentral:lncRNA from 1 species
GAAACUCCUCAUUUACACGUAUGCGAGAUGAAUUUGGUAACUGGAUCAAUCCCGAUGCAGGAGAAUUUGUAUUUGCACUAAGAAAGCUAUAGUUAAAAGUAUCAAUCAAUAAUAUUAUAACUUAAGAAGAAAAAAAUGUUAUAUUAAAAAAUAUAUAUAUACCUUUUCCUUAAUUCCUUUGUUUCACCAAUUUUAGAAUUGAAUGUGAUUCUAGUGGAAGAAAAUGCAUUUUGCAAUGUUGGUUUUCCUAUCAUUAAGAUUCAAAAGUAUAUGAAUGAAGUAUAUAUAUUCGUAUAAACAAACAAUCACAAUUGCUAGUCAUAAAUUAUUACCUUGAAACAAUUUAACUUUUGUCAACAUAAUGGCUACAACAACAUUUUGAGAUUCACCGGAAGAUAGGAAAGAGUUCAUAUCUUCAACAUACUCUCCAAAAAGAGUACAUUUAAAACAGUACGUACCUAUUUAAAAUUAUCAAAGAUUAUACAAAUAUUAAUAAAAAUACUAUAAUACAGGUUUUGAAAAAUUAUAAUUACAAAAAAAAUAAAUCAAACCUACUCAUUUGAAUCCAAUUCAAUGACAUUCAUUUUAGUUUUUACACUAUCUCUUUCGUACUCUCUUUCAACUCCAACUCCAAUCAUGACUCCAAUUACAUCUGCAUAUAUAACACACAUAAAAAUAUCGAUCAAAUUACUAUUUAUUAUUAAAAGAAUAUAACGUACAAUUGAAUCAUAUUAAACAAAACAUUUUAUUAAUUCAAUAUAUAAAUUAUUGUGUUAUUUUUGUAAGCAAAGAUAAUAUUUAAAAAAAUCUACAUGAAGAAAAUUAUAGUCACUUACCAACUAAGCAGUUGUUGUCGUAAGAUUCAUUGAAAACAUCAGGUGCAGGUGUAAACGAAUACACGUUUGUUGGGACCAAAACAGUUUUAGAUAGUUUGACUUUUGUGUUGAUUGUGAAAUUCAGUUUGUAUUCGUUGCGUG